AUUAAACAAGUAAAUGACACGGAAAUAACGUUUCAUGUUAAUUUUCUGUUUCUCCAAAACACACAAGCAUUAAAAAUCAUUCCAUAACAACAUGUAGCAUAGCCUAACAAAAAGGGGGAAAAAAAAGGGAGAAGAGAGCUUGCAUUAUUGAGAACAUGCAUACACCUCCCACAUAUACAUCAACAAUGGAAAACAACGAAACACGGAUAAAGAAAAUGAGCAAAGGCUGCAAGACAACAAAGACAUCGUGAAAGAUGUGAUUCAAUUCAUUGAAUUAGCGACCAAGCUUAGCUUGUAUGUUAGCUUUAAUUAUCAUCACUGAUCAAGAGCUUUGAUGCUGAUAUUUUUUGCAGGAGUGGAGUGGAAUUAUAUAUAGUCCUUCUUUGCCCAGAAAUGUUGCUUCUCUCACACAGAACAUAUGGGAGAGAAAACACAUGAUCAUGUACUUGGUACCGACUGGACUAUUCCCACUUUCCCAAUUGGCAAUGAAAAUAGCAUUUGGGCCAAUUCAGAGGCAAGUUUCUUUUAUCAUAUACAAUAUGUUUGCAAUUAGAAUAGUCCGAAAUCAACUUGAAUUUAUCUAGUGGUUAAUUUAUUAAUAUGCUUAAAUAAGUGUGGAAAUUCAAACUCUGCUUUGUGUAUACAAUAAUAAAAUUAAAAAAAAAGAAAUAAUGUGAAAAGAAUAAAGAUUAUUUUUUUAAUAAAAAAAUUCACCAAAAAAAAGUUGUCAUGUGUAAUACACAUAUCUUUUUGAAAUGGAGAAUACUAGGGGACAAUGAUUUUUUUGAACAAUAUAAACAACUAUCAAUCAAAUUAAAACACACUAUACUUCUAAAUUAAUUCUCUAAAUUUUAAUAUUAAAAUAACCAUCCGUACACUAAUAAAAUAAACAUCCGAUAUAUCUAUUAUUUAUAUUGUUUAAUAUUUUCAUUGUUUAUCUAUAUUUUUUUGAAAUAAAAUUUAGUUAAAAUCUUUACUUUUUACUCAAUUUUAUCUUUUAUCGAACAAAAUUUUCUUACAAUUAAUGUCAAAUCCUGCUUGAUAAAAAGUGAAUAUCCAACUUGAUCUCUGAUGAUUUUUUUAAAGGAUUAUGAGACUCUCAAACAAAAAAAUAUUCUUUUUAAUUUUUGAUAUUUAAUUUUGUAGGACUGGUUAGUUCUUUUGUCAAUGAUCUCUUUUCAAAACAUAUUUACGUGACAUGUUAAUCACUAAUAUAUCUUCUAUUUAAUUUUUAUAAGUAAAAACAAUCUAAAAAUCACUAAUAUUUAUUAGUUAUACACAAUAAAUUUAGUUAAUAUAUCUGAAAAAGAUAAUAGAAAAAUAAAAAUAAUAAUUAAAUAAUCUUGAUAAUUAUCCUUAAAAGACAAUGAGACUCUCAACAAAAAGGAAUUUGUUAAUCCUAAUUAGUUCUUAAUGGAUAAAUCAAUAAUUUAACACACUAUGUAGGCUUAUUCCGUUAAUAUCGAUAGAAAUAUUGACAUAGAAACUAAUCAGUUUCAUAAAAAUAAAGAUCAGAAGCAGAAAAAAAUAUUUUUUUUGUUAAGAGACUCGUUAUCUUUUGAGGCAAUUGUAAUAGACUGUUUAAGAUUUUUUUCUCGCUUGAUAAAUGAUAAUUUCACCAUUUUUUCCCGUUAACAUUCUCAAAACACUUGUAGAGUUGUUGGGUGUAGGCGUAAGUUGGGGUUGUGAUUACGAUCGUACGUUUGAAGAACGAAGGCUUGCAACUUUCAGGUUUGAAGAAGGAAGAAGAAAGAAGCAUAUCGGGUAUGGUAUAACGAUUGCCCUCUAGCCACUGAACUUUUUCAAUUUUUGUGUAAAUUAUAAAUUUUCAUUUAUAGAAAUCUACAGAUAAAAUUAGUUUCGUUUAUUCAUAAA